ACAGGUGGUGCAUGGUUGUCGUCAGCUCGUGUCGUGAGAUGUUGGGUUAAGUCCCGCAACGAGCGCAACCCCUACGUUUAGUUGCUAACGCGUGAAGGCGAGCACUCUAGACGAACUGCCGUUGACAAAACGGAGGAAGGUGGGAUGACGUCAAAUCAUCAUGCCCCUUAUGUUCUGGGCUACACACGUGCUACAAUGGCCGGUACAGACGGACGCAAAGCCGCGAGGUGGAGCAAAUCCUAAAAAGCCGGUCUCAAGUUCGGAUUGCAGGCUGCAAUUCGCCUGCAUGAAGUCGGAAUCGCUAGUAAUCGCAGGUCAGCAUACUGCGGUGAAUACGUUCCCGGGCCUU
rnacentral:rRNA from 1 species